rnacentral:rRNA from 1 species
CAGCAGCCACGGUAAUACGUAGGUGGCAAGCGUUGUCCGGAAUUAUUGGGCGUAAAGGGCUCGCAGGCGGUUUCUUAGGUCUGAUGUGAAAGCCACCGGCUCAACCGGGGAGGGUCAUUGGAAACUAGGAAACUUGAGUGCAGAAGAGGAGAGUGGAAUUCCACGUGUAGCGGUGAAAUGCGUAGAGAUGUGGAGGAACACCAGUGGCGAAGGCGACUCUCUGGUCUGUAACUGACGCUGAGGAGCGAAAGCGUGGGGAGCGAACAGGAUUAGAUACCCCCGUAGUCCCUGUCUCUUAUAA